ACGAACGCUGGCGGCGUGCUUAACAUAUGCAAGUCGAACGGAAAGGCCCUGCUUUUGUGGGGUGCUCGAGUGGCGAACGGAUGAGUAACACGUGAGUAACCUGCCCUUGACUUUGGGAUAACUUCAGGAAACUGGGGCUAAUACCGGAUAGGAGCUCCUGCUGCAUGGUGGGGGUUGGAAAGUUUCGGCGGUUGGGGAUGGACUCGCGGCUUAUCAGCUUGUUGGUGGGGUAGUGGCUUACCAAGGCUUUGACGGGUAGCCGGCCUGAGAGGGUGACCGGCCACAUUGGGACUGAGAUACGGCCCAGACUCCUACGGGAGGCAGCAGUGGGGAAUAUUGCACAAUGGGCGGAAGCCUGAUGCAGCAACGCCGCGUGCGGGAUGACGGCCUUCGGGUUGUAAACCGCUUUCGCCUGUGACGAAGCGUGAGUGACGGUAAUGGGUAAAGAAGCACCGGCUAACUACGUG
rnacentral:rRNA from 1 species